rnacentral:piRNA from 1 species
UGCAUGAGGAAAUGGCUAGUUAAUUCCCUG